UUAGUAGUGGCGAGCGAACGCGGACCAGGCCAGUGAUACAUCAAGACAUCGGAACCAGUCAGGAAAGCUGGGCCUCAGAGGGUGAUAGCCCCGUACGAGUAAUGCGAUGAUGUAUCCACGAGUAAGGCGGGACACGUGAAAUCCUGUCUGAACGCGGGGGGACCACCCUCCAAGCCUAAGUACUCCUCAGCGACCGAUAGUGAACCAGUACCGUGAGGGAAAGGUGAAAAGCACCCCGACGAGGGGAGUGAAAUAGACCUGAAACCGGACACCUACAAACAGAUGGAGCCCAAGAUACGUUCUGGGUGACAUCGUACCUUUUGUAUUAUGGGCCAGCGACUUAAUUUAACGAGCAAGCUUAAGCCGAUAGGCGAAGGCGUAGCGAAAGCGAGUCUGAAUAGGGCGUCAAGUUCGUUGUAUUAGACCCGAAACCUAGUGAUCUAGCCAUGAGCAGGUUGAAGGUGAGGUAACACUCACUGGAGGACCGAACGGGUGCCUGUUGAAAAAGGCUCCGAUGACUUGUGGUUAGGGGUGAAAGGCCAAUCAAACUGGGAAAUAGCUGGUUCUCCGCGAAAGAUAUUUAGGUAUCGCCUCGGAUGAAUACCUCAGGGGGUAGAGCACUGGAUGGGCUAGGGGGACUUACCGUCUUACCAAACCCAACCAAACUCCGAAUACCUGAGAGUACUAUCCGGGAGUCACACGGCGGGUGCUAACGUCCGUCGUGGAGAGGGAAACAACCCGGACCUACAGCUAAGGCCCCUAAUUCGUGGCUAAGUGGGAAAGGAUGUGGAAAUCCCAAAACAACCAGGAGGUUGGCUUAAAGCAGCCAUCCUUUAAAGAAAGCGUAACAGCUCACA
rnacentral:rRNA from 1 species